CAGCAGCCGCGGGAAUACAGAGGGUGCGAGCGUUAAUCGGAUUUACUGGGCGUAAAGCGUGCGUAGGUGGUGGUUUAAGUCCGUUGUGAAAGCCCUGGGCUCAACCUGGGAAUUGCAGUGGAUACUGGGUCACUAGAGUGUGGUAGAGGAUAGUGGAAUUUCCGGUGUAGCAGUGAAAUGCGUAGAGAUCGGAAGGAACAUCUGUGGCGAAGGCGACUAUCUGGGCCAACACUGACACUGAGGCACGAAAGCGUGGGGAGCAAACAGGAUUAGAUACCCCUGUAGUCCCUGUCUCUUAUAC
rnacentral:rRNA from 1 species